rnacentral:rRNA from 1 species
UACGUAGGGUGCGAGCGUUGUCCGGAAUUACUGGGCGUAAAGAGCUCGUAGGUGGUUUGUCGCGUUUGUUCGUGAAAACUCACAACUCAAUUGUGGGCGUGCGGGCGAUACGGGCAGACUGGGGUACUGCAGGGGAGACUGGAAUUCCUGGUGUAGCGGUGGAAUGCGCAGAUAUCAGGAGGAACACCCGUGGCGAAGGCGGCUCUCUGGGACGGUACUGACGCUGAGACGC